CUUCAUGCUGGGAUCACAGGAGUGUGGCAUCACGCCCGGCUGCAUCUUAGCACUUUUAAAUUACAAAGCAUGGAACAGAAAGCCAGUCUGGAGGAAAGAAAAUGAAAGAAAUAAUUCAGGAAGAAUAACGUCUAAGAAAAGAAGAAAACAGAAUUGUAACUUAGCGAAAGAAAUUCCCAUCCUGCAGCGUCUGAAAGGGACGUAUAUUCCAGGAAGCCUGGGAGACAGGCAGUGUAUUGCAGCACAAAUCACCAUAUCCAAGAAGAACGAGAUAAGAUUAAGAAAAGAAAAGCUAAUUUGAAAUGUCAGUGAAGUUUAUUUCGUCCAGUUUAGGUACACUGAUGGAUUUAUGUUUUAAAAAUCGAUUCGGCUUCUGGGAAGGUGCCGCCACGGGAAGACAGACACAACGGUGCAAAUGUGAAAUUCGUCUUCUGGAGGGAGAAAGGCAACCGCUGUGGUAUUCAGCUUCCCGGAAGCAAACGUCUUCAUCGUGGUCCACAGCCAGAGUUUGGAGUUAUUGCCAACCACACAGAAGGGAGACGCCGGAGCAGGGGACUGGGGCAGAGAUUGCCAGCGAGACCACUGCCUCCAAAGCAAGAUGCUAUAUCAUGGAGAGACUGGAGAAGGGCAGAAGCCUGAGGGCAGAUAGCUUUGGCUUUGGACAUGAAAACUGCAGGGUCCUGGCCAGCAGCAGCCCACAUGGUGAUGACGUCUCAGCGUUGGCCACAGUGGCUCAGAAAGACCCCCCAGUGCUCCAGUUUGUGCAAGAGUCCUGGUGCCUCUGACUGAACUUGCAGCCUAGAUGGUCUCCAGCUGCAGGCAGCCACGGAAAUCAGACAGCCCGACAUGAACUAUCCCGUUGAAUGACAGAUCCGGACUCCGCAAUGACAUCAGCUUCCACCGUCCUGUGAAAAGGAAAAGCAGAUUAAAACCUA